rnacentral:piRNA from 1 species
UNGGCUCUCAGGCAGUUUCAAUUAGGUCCUU